GACGUAGGGGGCGAGCGUUGUCCGGAUUUAUUGGGCGUAAAGAGCUCGUAGGCGGCUUAGCAAGUCAGGUGUGAAACCUCCAGGCUCAACCUGGAGACGCCACUUGAUACUGCUAUGGCUUGAGUUUGGUAGGGGAAGACGGAAUUCCUGGUGUAGCGGUGAAAUGCGCAGAUAUCAGAGAGGAACACCGAUGGCGAAGGCAGUCUUCUGGGCCAAAACUGACGCUGAGGAGCGAAAGCGUGGGGAGCGAACAGG
rnacentral:rRNA from 1 species